AUUCAAGAUGGCGGCGAUUAGGAGUGAAUUGCAAAAUCUGUUAGGGCGAAUUUUUCAUCUUGUGAACUAGAAAACUGUUGUGGAUUAUUGCGGAAACAAUCGAUGGGGACUGGUCAAUGUGCGAAACAAACCUUCAAUGAGAAAAUCACGUUCGAAUUAACAGAUUGGCAAAGGCAAACUGGUCAAUUUCUUUCUGUUGACAUGUUAAAAUACUUCUUGUAUAAGAUUUAAUUAAGUGAUAUCGAAUGGAUUUUGCUCAGGCGACAUAAAAUAAAGAUAACAGCUAAAACGAAAGUUUACAUAGACCUACCGCUCAGUGUCAGGAGGCUUGUCUAAUCUCUUAAUUUACAAACUAUUUCGCAGUCUACUAGUGUUGGCUUAAUACAAGGAUGGAUAAUUUGCAAGCAACUAUAUUGAAUUUUUGAAAGCUUUCACACAUUGAAAGGAAUUACAGUAUCAUGUCUGUGCUAACACUUGAAACAGUUAUAAAUAUUUUUGAAUUAUGUACUGUACAUGUUAAUAAAAAUAACUUGAAGUAUUCUAUAUUCACUAGCAUGUCAUAUUUCUAACUUUCUGGUCUUUAUUUAGCAUACAGUAUCUCACACACACUACCAGUAAUAUGGCUGACAUACUAAGUAACUAAGGAGUAAGGUGAUAAAUUUCUCUUUUGGUACAUGCAGUUAAAAGUGUUUUUAGUGACUGUAUGUAACCCAUUAUGACUGCCU